UCGACCAACUUCUACCUGACUCAGACUCCGACGGACUAACUAGCUAUCUAACGGUUUAAGCUAAAGGUUUUGGUGGGAAGAACUAAUGAAUCGAUCUAGGGGGUUUAUAUAGGCUGGGGAAACUUGGUCAGCAAGUUACUUGGAGUGCAAGUCACUCAAAGGAUAAGGCUUAUCCUUAUCUUAUCCACUUUCAAGCUUAUCAUUAUCCAAUCUUGUUCUUAUCCUUAUCUAAAUGCCCAUUCUAAUCUAAAACGUGUGGAGGAUCAUGCACAACACACGCCAAGUUCAUGGAACAACUGCCUAUGCCACAAGCACCUCAACGACAUGGCCUUAACGACCAUUCGUUAUGUCGCUCACGGUACACGCCCGUACCGAGAACUCUCCGAC